rnacentral:rRNA from 1 species
UGUUGGUGGGGUAACGGCUCACCAAGGCGACGAUCCCUAGCUGGUCUGAGAGGAUGACCAGCCACACUGGAACUGAGACACGGUCCAGACUCCUACGGGAGGCAGCAGUGGGGAAUAUUGCACAAUGGGCGCAAGCCUGAUGCAGCCAUGCCGCGUGUAUGAAGAAGGCCUUCGGGUUGUAAAGUACUUUCAGCGGGGAGGAAGGGAGUAAAGUUAAUACCUUUGCUCAUUGACGUUACCCGCAGAAGAAGCACCGGCUAACUCCGUGCCAGCAGCCGCGGUAAUACGGAGGGUGCAAGCGUUAAUCGGAAUUACUGGGCGUAAAGCGCACGCAGGCGGUUUGUUAAGUCAGAUGUGAAAUCCCCGGGCUCAACCUGGGAACUGCAUCUGAUACUGGCAAGCUUGAGUCUCGUAGAGGGGGGCAGAAUUCCAGGUGUAGCGGUGAAAUGCGUAGAGAUCUGGAGGAAUACCGGUGGCGAAGGCGGCCCCCUGGACGAAGACUGACGCUCAGGUGCGAAAGCGUGGGGAGCAAACAGGAUUAGAUACCCUGGUAGUCCACGCCGUAAACGAUGUCGACUUGGAGGUUGUGCCCUUGAGGCGUGGCUUCCGGAGCUAACGCGUUAAGUCGACCGCCUGGGGAGUACGGCCGCAAGGUUAAAACUCAAAUGAAUUGACGGGGGCCCGCACAAGCGGUGGAGCAUGUGGUUUAAUUCGAUGCAACGCGAAGAACCUUACCUGGUCUUGACAUCCACGGAAGUUUUCAGAGAUGAGAAUGUGCCUUCGGGAACCGUGAGACAGGUGCUGCAUGGCUGUCGUCAGCUCGUGUUGUGAAAUGUUGGGUUAAGUCCCGCAACGAGCGCAACCCUUAUCCUUUGUUGCCAGCGGUCCGGCCGGGAACUCAAAGGAGACUGCCAGUGAUAAACUGGAGGAAGGUGGGGAUGACGUCAA